GUGCUUAAUUUAUGCUAACCACCGAUGAUCUGAUAAACUAAUUACCAACAACUGUAAUCAGUUUUUGGGAUCCAACAUUAUUUUUUUCACGUAUUUUGGUAUGCCAUCUCAUCUCGUGUUUACCAUAAGUAUCGUUGCUUAGGAGACCAAUCCUGUUAAGGCCCCGUUUGAGAGUGAUUUUUCAUCAAAAAAAAUUAAUUUUUUUACUGUUAUUUCACUAUUCCAACCGUAAUUCUUGACUUGUUCUCUCGCAGGUGGUCCUCACUUUUCUCCUAACAGUCAAAAAAUCAAUUCUCAAAAUCACUACAGAAUAGGCCAUAAAAUUAAAUACAUUUCAAUUAAAAAUAUACAUUAAUUUUAGAUAUAAAACAAUUAAAAUCAAUACAAAAAUAGACAGUUAUCUAUCCCAAUUAAUUAAUUAAAUCAUAUUCAAUCGAUCAUCACAACUGUGAACGUAAAAUCCUUAAAUUAUAUGAAGUGUUGAGCGAUUGUUUGAACCAUAUUCAUCGAUCAUCUAUUACAUUAAGUAGAUAAUUAAAUUUAGAUUUUAAUUCAAACUAAAGCAUUUUUUUCUUUUUCUAAUAAUUUUCUCGAAUUUCAGCUAAAUUUCUAGGUCAAUUUAUCCAAAAUUUCUUAAUUUUUGAUAAUAAUUUGCCAUAUUUUAUUGAGAGUUGUGUCGUUUCGUUCAAAUUUGUUAUGGGCUCCUUUAAAUUUUAGCCAACGUCAUUUAUGUUUAUUUACAUUUCAACGUCCUUGUCAAGUCACUCAAUUAAUUAUUUACAUUUUAACAUAAUUUCUAGAUUUUCUUAUUAAUUGUUUAAAUGAUUUAGUGGAUUACUUGAAUGGUCGUUUUGAAGCUUUGACCAAUAUGUCUUUCGAUAUCUUACUUUUUAUGAAAAUUCAAUGCAAAUAAAUAUUAGCACCCGUUUGCCAUCCUCUUAAAAUUUAAAUUGUUUGCUUUAGUAUCAUUCUUAACCAUACAUUCAUACAAUAAAAUAUUAUCCACACAAACCAAUAAAGUUUUAUUACUUUUUAAUCACACAUUUUCCAAAAGAUACUAUUCAAUAUUAACUCAAUAUUCCCAAAUAAAUUCUACUAAACAUGCCCUUAGAUUAUCUCUCAAAUCGCUAAAGAUGUAUUAGAUAUUCAAAUAUUCAUAAUUAUUUCUAAGUCUACAUUCCGUACCAGUGGUAGAACUAUUGAUUCGUUUAGGAGUUCGUUAAGUACAAAUAUGAUUAAAAUGUUUUCUAUCAUAUUGUUAUAUUAUAAUGAUUAGAAUUAUAGAACUUUGAUUUGUAAUAUUUUUUAAGGGUAAUUUGCACAUAACAUCCAAUAUUUCAAUAUUAUUAUACAAAAUGUCCCCGCCUUACAUUUUUUUUAGCAUUUUCAUAUUUGAUUGCCAAAAACAUCCUUCCAUCCAUUUACAGUUAAUAUCUUUGUUAACUAAACACAAAAAAUCUAUUUUCUUUUCAAAAAGAAAGGGUGACAUAGUCUUACAAGUUUUUUUCCUUUCUUCCCACUUUAAAAAAUGGUUCUUUCAUAACUAACAAUAACUUUAAUAUGAAAAUAGUUGAUAAUUUAUUCCAUUAAAUAAAUAAAAAAUGAGAAGAACGAUGGUUAUUGUAAUGGUGGAUUGCUCAUAAAAUUUGGAAUGGUAGAUGAAGAGAUUGAAUAUGUGAUCUAUGAAUUGAAGAUGUUCAUCCCCAUUUUAGCUUACAAUCAAGGGUGUAACUAGGUGGGAAGUGAGAAGAACAAUAACACAUUUGAUGUUUUAAAUUACUCAUCAAAUUUCACUAGUGAAGAUGAACUAGAGCUGUUCAUCUCUUCUUUUCUUUUCUUUUCUUUUCUUUUCUUUUCCUUUUUUUUGGGGGGGGGGGGGUUUCUAAAAUUAAACUUUUGAUAAACAUCUCUAAUUAGUAAUAAAUAAAUAAAUAAAAAUUUACCAUCGCUCGGUUUAAUACUCUUCAUUGUGUGAUUCCACUAUGCGGCAAGGAGAGGAGAGGAAUGCACUAAGAAAAGUGGGAAUAUAUAUAUAUAUUUUUUUUAAAAAGAAAAACUGCAAGGUAAUCAUACCUGCAUAAGGGAGGAAAAAUGGGAAACAUUUUGUAAGACCAUAUCACCCUUCAAUUUUGAAAAGAAAAUUGACUUUUUUUGUGUUCAGCUAAUGAAGAUAUUCGUUGUAACUGGAUGGAAGGACAUUUUUGGUAAUCAAGGCUUUGUUUGUCUAUCAUUUUUUUACAUUCUACCACAUUAUUUUUUUUAUGGUAUUCAUUUUCAACCAUAUAUUCUACAUUAAAAUAAUAUUACACGUAAAUAAAAAACGUUUCCUUCUUUUUUAACCACACAUUUUAACAUCAAUUACUAUUCCAUAAUACAUUACUCACAAAUAAUGGACACAAACAAGCACCAAAUGUGUAAUUAAAUGUAAAAUUAUCAAAAAAAGACAAAAAGAAAAGGUAGAAACAUUUUGCGCGAUAAUAGUACCAUAUUUUUAAUAAUAUUAUUUAUGUUUUAAGUGAAAUUUUAAAAUAAUAUUUAUGAUGUAACUUAUUCAAUAUAUGAUUUAUUUUUUAUUUUUUGUUAAAUCGUGUUUUUAAACUGAACCAAAUAAAAAAAAAAGGUGAUUUAGAUUGGUUCGAUUUAAAAUUAAAGUUGUUUGUUUCGGGUUAAAAAUUAAAAAAAAAAAAAGAAAAAAAAAAGAAGAAGGGUAAAAUAGUCAAAAAUGGGUGAAAAUGACUUUUGCUCAACAAAAUGUGGAAUGUAGAGGUGAAAAUGUCAAAAAAUAAAAAUUACAGACGUUUUACACAAUAACACUAAAAGGUAGAGACGUUUUGUAUCAAUUACCCCCUUCGAAAAAAUGACAAUUUUCAAGUACCAAACACCUACCUCCAUCCCUACCCUCACACCCACCACCAGCCGUUGGUUGAGGCUUCGACACCAGCAGCCAAAAAUGGAAACGAAGAAACAGAGACGGCAAGAAGAUGUCGGCAAAAUAGGUCUUGAAUUUAAAGAAAACGAACAGGGAACUUCUACAAAAAUGUCUAAAAGAUCUUGAUUCUGCAUAAGAAACUGCAGGAACUCGAAUCUGAAUUCCUCCAUGUGAUUGACCUCCCACCGGAAAUCAGAGUAUCUCAAAUUAAAAAUUUUUGAUGGUAAUUGCUAGUCGGUGGGUGUAGGUUGGGAUGUUGAUUGUGGGGGAGGACAUGUUAUUGAUUCUGGAUUUAGCUUGAAAUCAUUUUUAAAAGAUAUUUUAAACAUAAGAUACUCUUUAUUUUAGGAAUCAAUUUAUGGGUACUAUAUUAUUCACAUCAUGAUUCAUAGCAAACUCACGUACAAGGAGUGAGAUCCACAAUUAGAGGGUUGUAAUUGUACAGUCCAACAUGGACUGUACAAACAACAAUACCCAUUUUAAAGAAUUUACCAUUAAAAUCAUGUUCUAAGAGAUAUUUUAAAUUAACAUUUUAAUAUAAUUAAAUGCAUUCCAAGUAUUUAAAGUUUUAAUGUAAUAAAAUAAUAUAAUAAUCUAUAGAAAAAUUGUUAAAAUAAAAGAUAAAAAUAAAAAUAAUAAAUUUAUAGAAUAAUAAAAUUAAAUGUUAAAUAUAAAGAACUUAUUGGAGUAUUUUAAAAUUUUGAAUCUCUAAAUUUAUAUAUGACCUUCAAACGAUAAAAUACGCUUUUUAAAAAUCGAGUCUUUUGAAUGUUUUCUAAUUUAGGUAAAUUUUAAUGGCAUUUUUGUCUAUUUCUUGAAAAAAAAAUGGAUAUUGACCUAAAAGUUAUAAGUCUUGGCCAUUGUCCCAGUUGCAUUUUCAAAAAUUCACACUUCUCCAAUCUCCAGUCUCUAAUAACACAGAAGUGAAAUUUAAAAAAAUAAAAUAAUAAUAAUAAUAAUAAAAUGAUGAUUUUACUAAACUAGUGAUAGCAAAAAAAUCCGUUUCGCCCUGCCCCGAUGGGUUGGCCGGGUGGGGCGGGGCAGAAUGAGGAGCCCCUUCGCGCCCCCGACCCUGACCCCACCACGUGAAUUUUUUUUUUAAUUUCAAGUUAUAUUAUUAUUAGAUAGUAAAAUACAAAUGUAAAAUUUUAAUUAAUUACAAAAGAAAUAAAAUUUAGUCAAAACGUAAUUUUAUUUGAAAUUGUAUAAUUAUUAACAUUGUUUAUUUUAAGUGUUUACUUUGAAUUUUAAAAUUUUGAAUUUAUAUUUUAUUCACUAAUAAUAACAUAAUUUGAAAAUUAAAAAUAAAAUUAAAUUAAAUGGGCGCGACAAAUGGGGCAUGGCCUGUUUGAGGCGGGGCGGGUACAAUUAAGUAAAUCUGCAUCUAAGUCAUCCAUCUACUCUUCCAUAAUUAAUAUAAAGACAUAACAUCAGUAAUAUCUAAAUGGAAUCUAGAAUUUAAGGUUGCGUUUGGUUUCUUGUUUUCAAGCCAUUUUCUAUUUUUAGUUUUCGAAAAUGUCAAAUUAUUAUUUUUUUAUUUUUUACCCAGGGGAUGCUCAACAGUACUUUUAAAAUAAAAUGUUGUAAUCUGAUACAAUUGAAUGAAGCAUACUAAUUUUAAAACCCACAAAAUAUUUUUAAAUUUCCAUUAUCGUUUUCUUUUUCGUUGAUCAAAAUUUGGAAGAAUUAUUUUAUUUUUUUUACUGUUCAAGUGACAGCAAAAUACAUCCAAAAUGAUAAAGGACAGACUAGAUAUUUUCUUUACAACGAUUCCUACUUUUGGUCUAUAAAUUUAUUAUUUUAUUUUUAUAGCAAGAAAAAAUAAUAAUUCACUAAGUUUAAAAUAUAAAUUAUCCAGUAAUAUAUUAGCAUAAAAUUAUUAUAUUUUAUUAAAUAAUAAAUUAAUUAAAUAAUGUCAUAAAACAAUUUUUAAAAAUUUUAAACCAAAUGCAUUUUUUUUGUUUUCUAUUUUGAGAAACCGUUUUUUAAAAUGACAAGUCAGAUACAUUUUCUAUAAUCCGAAAAUAGUACCUCAAAAUAGAAAACUAAAAAUGAAUUCAAAAUUGAAAACAAAAAAUGGAAAUGCAAACCAAAAACACCCUAAAUUUCUACUAAUGCAAGUACAAUUAAGUUUAAAAUAGAAAUGGUUCCCAUAAUGUAACAUCUCUUAACUUUUAGUUCAAUAUCCUUAACAUAAGAAAUUAGGAACUUCUUAAACAAAAAUCCAUAUCUUCAUAAACAGAAAUCCCCACACCAUUUUAUGAAUUAUACCAAACAUUAACACAUUAAACAUCUCUGAUUUUAGGGGAAAAGGCACAAAACACAAGGUACAAUACACAAAUGUCAGAUGAAGAAUUUCAAAAUGAAAAUCGAAUAACAACAAUAAAUAAGUAUCAAAUAAAGAAAAUAUAGAUUAACCUUAGGUUUAUAAACUUGUGAAAAAAAAAUAAUUAAAAAUUCUUCUUUAAAAUUCCUUCAACAAAAUUUGAUUUCCCCUUCAUCCCCGUCAAUUCACUUUCAUCACCCAUGGUUCGAGUCUCUAGUCAAUGGUGUCAUGUGGAUGGGGUCGUCAAUUGAUCAGUGAAUUGCCUUCUUCUUUUUAUGGGUGAAGCGAUUUCUUCUUUGCGUGGUAUUUUCUUUCUGUAAAUGACAGUUCUGUGAUCAGCUUGGACUAUUUUGGGUAGGUUUCCUCUUUGCAUGGGUAAUGCAGCUUCUUCUUCAUGUGGGCUAAAGGGUUUUUUCUUCGCGUGAGGGGUGGUUAGGAUUUUCUCUGUAAUCUUUGAUAAGUAUUGUUGAAGUCAAAAAUUGCUACGUAUAAUAUUUGGCAAACUUUUUGAGUGAAAUGUAUAUUUUCUAUUGAUGAUACCGAUUACAAUUACAUUUUUCUUAUUGUCUAGCCAACAGGAGUUGUUUCCCAUUUUAUCAGGGGUUUUGGGUUUUGGAAUUAUGCCUUGUCAAUCAUAUUCACCACAUUGUCGAGCUAGGUUUAUGUGCCGCUGAUCUCUUCCUUGAAUGGUUUACGAGGCCGGUUCCAAUCAAAUCACAAUAAUAUCUCUUCUUGUCAGGAAAUCAUGACAUGUUUCUGGAUAAGGAUUUAUGGGUGGUUAAUUGGUUGGUAUGUGCAGUGCUAAACUUUUUUCAAGUGUGCUUGACUGAUUGGGUGAUUUGACAAGGCGUCAGAAAUCUAUAAUCAUGAUGUAUAUCGAUUUUACGGCUGUUGGGAGACCGAGCCGAGCUCAAAAACUCGGAAUAGCUAGUUGAUAAGGUAGGUGUGAAGCACGUUUUAAAUGAGAUCGGAGAUCGGUAGUCAACAUUUUCUCCCCAGGUUAGUACUUCCCUAAUGGAUGGACUGACCUUUGGACUCGACUGCCUUUGAAAAGCUAAAGCUUUAAUAGGAAUGCCAAGUGUUGCGAUCUGUCCUUUAUAAGCUGUCUUACAUCUUCGUUUCCUUCAUUUGAAAGUUUUGCCAUAACUACGUAGUUUUGGCUUGGUAAUCAGGGCCCUUCAUUUUCGCUUGUAGGGUAUCUUUUGGUUUGCCAUUACUUUAAAUAGUUUAGUUUUGGCUUGCUAAUCAGGGCCCUUCAUUUUCGCUUGUAGGGAAUCUUUUGGUUUUCCAUUACUUUAAAUAGUUUUUUCCCAUUUCAAUUAACCGCUUUACUUUUGCUUCUACUCUCUCUCAAGGAAAAAGAGAAACAUUUUAGUGCACCCCUUCCUGUUCUAUUUGAGGUCUUUCAUUCCUAAUUCCCAGGUAUUCCUCUUACCAGAAAGUGCCUUUAUUUCUUCUCAUUCUUUCACCUAGUUAUUAUAUGAGUUCUGACUAGUCUAGAGUACAUUAGUGGAGCAACCAAUAGGAAGAAUCUGUUCCUUUUUUAGUUCUUCUCUGAGCUAUCAGGAAAUCCUAACCCCUAUCCCUAUCUCCAUAGUUAACCUGAUAGAUUUAGGUUGUCCUACAAACAUGGAUCUAGAUUCAGAGGGUUCUGGAGGAGAGGAGAUUGGGUCACACGAGGACAGUGAGAAGAAUAUUUUGAGGGGUGGGGGUGAGCUCGUAUAAGUCAAUGGUGACAGGGGACAUGUUGGUGAACUGGAGGGCAAAAUAUGAUAUCCCCAGCUCAAUAGAAAUGGUGAUUCCUGAACCAUUAGACCGAGCUAAUGCUCUCUCAGUGGGAUACAUAGCUUUGAAUUCGGCAAUCCUGAAUGCCGAACUUAGACUCCCCUUUCCUAGGGUUCUCCAAAAUUUUUUGUCUUUUUUGGGGGAUAUAACUCCCACUUAGAUAUGUCCCAACCGGUGGCGAACAUUAAUUGCCACAUUUAUUCUGAGGUAACUUUUGAGUGAUUCACUUCUCCCUUGCUUGAUGCUUAUCGAUCAUUCCUUGGGCAUGGUUUUGGCCUUGAACGCCAUGAAUUAUGCCAGGAAUGUCGUGGCUAGGUCUUUCCAAUUUUUUUUAUAGACCUUUCGUACAUCCUUCUGAACCACUUUUGAGCCUUGUCUCCCAAGGUUAAGGGAAAAGCACGGCACAUAAUAGCAUCACUUGCUCCAUGUAGUUUCAUCCAUGAAGUGUAUUUAUCUUGAUGACUAAGGGGAUCUCCUUUCUCUUCGUACGCAACUAGCUAUGGUAUCUUUAAUUUUUUAGGUAAAUGUUCGAUAAGGAUGCCUUCUGUGAAGGGAGAAUGGCGCUUUGCAAGAUACUCCUCCAUCACUUCUGGCCUCCAAAUUGGCAAUAUGUCUUUCCAGAAUGCUUAGUUUAGGCUCUACUUGUUCAAGUGGACGGUUUAGGUUAAGUUGGCAGGCGCCCUUUGGGGCAUUUAGGAGUGCUAAGAGUCUAACCUAUUGAAUACACGUCGGCCUUCCUGGUGAUUGGCUCUGUCAUUGGAGGGGGCUUCUAACCUCUUCAGUUUGACUUUCAGUGGAUUCUCCUUCGAAAGUUGAGGGAUCUCCUUAUGAGGAGUUGCCUGGCCCUUCCCCUAGCGGAAGAUCCCACCUUGGUAUCAAGUAGGGAAACGUGGGUCUGAUUUUGUUUCUCCCUACUAACUACAUUUGUCAACCUCUCAGUGGCUUCUCUCAUGGCAGUUAUUUGGAAGUUACCUAUUUCAGUUUGGUCUUGCUUUUCCAGAAAUUGUGUGAAGGUACAGUUUCAUUGGGAUGAGUGUAAGACUAGUUCUCCGAGGUGCAACCGCUUCUCAUAGCUUCUGUUUGAUUGUUGUUUUUGGGAAAGAGUGGGGCUGUUCUUGCACAAUAAGGGCCCUUCUUCUAGCCCCAAACUGUUGAAGUCAGAAAUUACUAUUUAUAAUUUUUGGCAAUCUCUUUGAGUGAAAUGUAUAUUUUCUAAUGAUGAUACCGAUUACAAGCCCAUUUUUCUUUUUGUCCAGCGAGCCAGCGAAAGCAGUUCUUCCUUUUAUAGGGGGUUAUUUUUCUGGAGUUAUGUCUUGUCAAUCAUAUUCACCACAGUGCUGAGCUAGAUUUAUAUGCCAUCGAUUUCUUCCUUGAUUGGUUUACAAGGCCGAUUCCAAUCAAGUCACAAUAAUAUCUCUUAUUGUUAGGAAAUCAUGACUUGUUUCUGGAUAAGGAUUUAUGGUGGUUAAUUGAUGGGUUUGGGUGGUGCUAAUGAAAGGGUGGCAAUCAGGCUCAUCGGCUAGACUAGAAAAAAGCCCAUGCUAGCCCGACUCGAGGCUUGGUUGGGGUGCCGGCCUGAGCAAGAUGCGGCUUAGGCUUACGAGCCUUCAUAUUAAAAAAAAUUAAAAUUAGAAAAACACAGUUUAAAGGCAGCAGGCUGUGCUGCCUUUAAAAGGAAGGAAAAAAGUAAGCCUACUCGACUCGGCUUAGCUCGGCAAGGCUCUAGCCAAAAGCUCAGCUUGACUCGGACUCGUAAAAAAUCUCGGACCAUUUUACUUGAACUGAGCCUAAGCCUCGAGUUUUAGCUUGACUCGUUGACACCAUUAUGCUGACAUCACUUUUUUCAAGUGUGCCUAACUGAUUGGGUGAUUUGACAAAGCGUUACGAAUUUGUAAUCAUGAUGUCUAUUGAUUUUACGAUGGCUGCAAGAUUGAGUAGAGCUCGAAAACUUGGAAUGGUGAGUUGAUGAGGUAGGUGUAAAGUAUGUUUUAAAUGAGAUUGGAGAUCGGUGGUCAACAAGUUUGGACGAUUUUUUGAUUUUAUUAGCAUCCUAAUUACGGGUAUGAGAGGUUUUUAAUUUAUUUUAAUGUAUUUAAAAUUUAUUGCUUUGUUAGAAUAUUGGGCCUAAUUUUCUCUUUGGCAAUUACUCAUCCCUACUAAUUAAUUAAAUCAUAUUCAAUUAUCCAUCAGCCAUUAUAAUUAGGAAUGCAAAAUCCUUAAAUUGGCUAAAGAGCUUAACAAUACCUAUUGAAUUAUAUUCACCAAUAGUCCAUUAUAAUUGAGUGGACAAUUAAAUUUUAAUUUUAAUUCAAAAUCACACCAUUUAUUUUCUUUCUAUUAGUAACUUUCUAAGAUUUUUGACUUUAUUUCAAGAAUAGUUUACCCAUUUUUGGGUAAUUAUUUUCUUAUGUUUCAUUUGCAAUUCUCUGCAGCUUUAUUUCUAUUUUUAUUCUUUUUUUUUUUUUUUGUGCUGGGCACCUUACAUUUUUUGUUGAACGGUGGUCCUUGUUUUAUUUGCAUCUCAUUUUCCUCAUGUUACUAAAUUUAUUAUUAUUAUUAUUAUUAUUAUUAUUAUUAUAUCUUAGUUGUUAGAUUCUUUUGGAGUUAAAUGCUUCAUUAACCACCGAACUUUACAUCAUAUCACGGCUUACUCAUCGAACUUUCAUACCUUUCCCAUUGGCCACUAAACUUUGCUCUGUCCAAGUCCAUCACCCACCCAUUUGAAAACUGUUAAUAGCGUACAUACAUGGUUGACGGAAAGCUGAGUUGGCAGUUAAAUACUGCCAAAUAAAAACUUAAUCACCAAAUCAGCUCUAACUCAGCAAAGACGCGUCCAACUUUCACAAUAUGAGAAAAAUUGAUUCACGCUACUACUUAGGGAAACAAAAAGCGCCUCUUACCAACCACUCGUAUCAAUUCACGAACAAACAGGAAGAAAAAUUACCUUUUUAUUUUGAGCGAUCUUUGGGAUUGCUUCGUGCUGUCUGGGAGCAACCGAAUUUGGGAGGAGCGAGUUUUCAAUCAGUAGGUAAGGGUUUGAAAUAUGAGAAUCAAAAGUUGUGUGAAUUUUAAGUGGAGGAAAACUACCUUGAUUUCCGGCUGUAGGUAUGGAUUGCAGUAAUUGGACUGUCGAGUUCAAUUUGGGGAUUUAGGGUUUGGAUUUCGAUUUGGUUUGGUGAUGGUGCGUGUGUGUGUUUCUGAAAUGGAUAAGGGAAAUGAUAGGCAUGUAUAUGGUAAUUUUUUCCAUCUCAGAGGCGUGUUUUAUUAUGCUGACUUGUCGAUUAUUUGGCAAAACGUACACACUUGUAAAGAUUUAACAAGCCCUUUCUCGUCUGCCAUGCACGCACAUUAACUAACAGAUCUGAUUCAGUGCGUGAUGGAUUUGGACGGAGCAAAGUUCAGU
rnacentral:lncRNA from 1 species